GUGGGAGGAAGUGGAGAUGCAUCAUCAAUCUAAUUUAUAUAUAGAGGCUAUGCGCUCCAAAGCUGAGAUAAGCACACAGAAGAACAACUUGCAUCCCAAAGCGAGAAUCACAUCACGUUGAAAGGAAAUGAAACCAACCAGCUGUGCAUCUCAGGUGAUACAGAACAAGAGUCUUGCUGGACCUGACAAAAAGCCCCCCAUUGUUUUACGACUCCACUGAAAAACUAAUCUCAAAGUUACUUUACUACUUGUCUAGCAGUUUUCUAUCAAUGUCUUCUUAUACUAGUGUGUGUGUGUCUUUAACCUGAAUGCUGCAUGUUUUUAAAACUUUUUCUCUGAUUUAGAAGUCACAAUCUCCUGUUUAAAUGUCCAAAAAAGUUAUUUCCUCAACAUCUGUCCUGAACAAAGAAAGACUUUUGCAUUAGUAUACCAUUUAUGUUUCGGUAUUUGGAGUGUCCCAGUUAUGUGCUGUGCAUGUAAACAUCACAUCCUGGUUUUGAGAAACCUUCCUGCUGGAGUAAAUACAAAAAUAACACGUUUGCAUUUCUGAUCAGGGCUCAUAAAUGUUUUUGAACAACUAAGAGUGUUUAAGACAACUUGACCUGAAAACC